rnacentral:rRNA from 1 species
AGUAGUCAUAUGCUUCUUUCAAGGACUAAGCCAUGCAAGUGUGGGAGUACACUGUGCAACAACCUGCCCCCCGAAUACUGUUGGUCUGCGGAUGGCUCAUUAAAUUCAGCAAACAUCUGACCAGCAGUCGUACCUGUAGGUCUUCUUGUGGUGUCCCCAAUGCCUCUGCUUCAUCCUGUGCCUUCAGGCGCGCGAGAGAGAGAGCAUCAUGUGUCGGGAGGAGAGGCCCUGCAGGGUCCACGUUGUGGAUACCCGGGCUAACUGUCUGGCUAAUACAUGCAAAGUCUACGGCCCUUCCCAGGCCUCUCUGGGCCGGGACGGGCGGCGGUUGGUCGACAAUGAAAGACAGGUGCCUCGUGUGUAGAGAGCAGCAUGCAUCGGCGAGGCAGACCCACUGAGUAUGUGUGCAUGGGAUCCAUUCACUUGGGUGUCCAUGCCACCACAUGCCUUUUAUCAGUUACAGCAGUUGUGCGCGACGCGUUUCACUGCAUGCUGGAUGAAUUUCUGCCCUAUCAUGCUUUCGACUGUGGUGUAGUGGACCAUCGUGGCUGUCACGGGUAACGGGGAAUGAGGGUUUGAUUCCGGAGAGGGAGCCCUAGAAACGGCUACCACCGUCAAGGCGGGCAGCAGGCGCGCAAAUUGCCCACUGUUGGCACAGUACCAAACGAGGCAGCGACGAGAAAUGACAACACCGCCAGUCCAACGCGACGGGUGGUGUUUUGUAGUGGAUGCUAUAUGUAAAUGCAGCAGUGAGUUUCAACUGGAGGGCAAGUCUGGUGCCAGCAGCCGCGGUAAUUCCAGCUCCAGUAGCGUAUACUGACGUUGCUGCUGUUAAAAAGCUCGUAGUUGAUUGCAGAGUGGAUGGUGCUGUAGGCAAGGGAACACGCCCCGCAGGGGUUUUCAUGCCGGGUCGAUUCUUUCGUGCGCGGGGUGUCUCUCCUGUGGAACGUGGUAGCCCAUCGUGUGGGGAUUUGGUCUAGGCGUGCAGGGUGGUGCUUUUCAGUGCUACCCUGCCGUUUCAGUUCUGACCCCAUGCUCCCUGCAGUUGUCCCUCCACUCGCCAAACACGGAAUUGGGUUCCUCUGCAGUUGCCCUCCUUGAGUGGUGGGUGGCUGCGUGCAGCCGCACAAAAUGUGUGCUUGCUGUGAACACUCCGCGUCGCAGUGUAUACACUCCGCAGCGAUGUGUGUUUGGAGGAUGUCCGUGGCCGUUACCGUGAACAAAACAGCGUGUUCAAGGCAGGCGACUAUUUGUCAGUAUGCUGGAGCAUGGCAUAACAAGGAAUCGUCCAGCGGGUGCCUUUCUCAAGGCUCUGCCAAUCUACCUGACACUGUGUGUGUAUACGUUCUUAGCAGCCCGUCCUGGGCAACACGGGGCCAUCCCAGGGCUUGCAACAGGUGUCUGCCGUCCACCGAUCUUUGCCGGCCACGUGUCGGCAGUCGGCUGCGUCGCUCUCACUCUGUGCAGUCCAUGUGGUUGGCUUUCUGAUCGGAACCGAGGGGACGGUUCAGUGCCGUACGUACUGUACCGCGAGGGGUGAAAUCCUUAGACCGGUGCAUGACGAACCGAGGCGAAGGCGUUCCUGGCAGGGACACGUCUGUCAAUCAAGAACGAGAGUUUGGGGAUCGAAGAUGAUCAGAUACCGCCGUAGUCCAAUGACCGUAAGCUGUGCCAGCUUGGUGUCAGGAGUGUGUUCCCAUCCAUUAUGGUACGUCUCUUCUGGCACCGUCCCCCCACAUCGAGAAAUCCAAAAGCGUGUGGGUUCAGGGGGGAGUACGACCGCAAGGCUGAAACUUAAAGGAAUUGACGGAAUGACACCACAAGACGUGGAGUUUGCGGCUUAAUUUGACUCAACACGGGGAACGUUACCGGGUCAGGACACAGCAAGGAUGGACAGAUUGAGGGCUCUUUCUUGAUCCUCUGGAGGGUGGUGCAUGGCCGUUCCUGGUUGGUGGAGUGAUUUGUCUGGUUGAUUCCGAUAACGAGCGAGAUCUCUGCCUUUCAAUAGUGAUGGGUCUCGUUUCUGUAGGAGGGUGCAAUGAGGUGGGACUUGCGCGGUGGGCUUGCUCAGCGUGUGGUGCCACUGUAAUUUGCUUAGCCGUUUCCGAGAGUGCCCACAGCUUCUCUUAGGGGCCGCGUGCGCUGCCAAGCACACGUAAGCCAGAGCCGACAGCAGGUCUGUGAUGCUCCUAAAUGUCCCGGGCCGCACGCGUACUACACUGGUGUGUCCAACAAGUCUGAUUUCGAACCCCUUUGCAUCUUGCACUGGGUCCUCUCCCGACGGGGACGGGGUAAGCUUGGGAGAACAUGCCGUGAUGGGGAUGGAUGAUUGCAACUAUUUGCCUUGAACGAGGAAUGCCUAGUAGGCGCAGGUCAUCAGCCUGCACCGACUAUGUCCCUGCCAUUUGUACACACCGCCCGUCGUUGCUACCGAUGGUGUGAGGAUAGAGCCACCAGGAGGAAUGCGUAGGUCCAGUGGGAGACCACCUCCCGCCAGCCGCCGUGAGCCGAAUUCUGGCAAUGUCCUCCCGCUAGAGGACGCAAAAGUCGUAACAAGGUUACUGUAGGUGAACC